UUUAGGACGUUGUCACAAGUGUGGUCUACGUGGCCAUUAUGGUGUUGCCUGUAGAUCCCGUAUGUACUUUACCAAAGCUAUUACUAUUAUAAUAGUCAGGUGAUAUUAUUUUCAAAAGUUGUGCAUCAAGUUUACAAUAAAUUUUAAUCAUUGUACAGUCUUGGAAAACUAAUGACUCUUCAUGUUCCUCAGUAUAAAAUAAAAAAAUAAACACAGUCACUGUUAUGCAUAUGCAGAGCACUAAAUGGCUGUCCUUUAAUGGCUUCAAAAGCAUAACUGUGCAUUAUAUCACUGUACGGUUGCACUUGAAAAUUACCGGGAUGAAGUCAAACUUAACUGUGCAAGUCCGAUUUUCAGCAUAGUAUGAUUUAUAGUAAAUGUUUAUACGAGACCAGGAUGAAAACGUGCUCGAGAUAGGAUUAAUUUGGAGUGCAGUGAAUGUAAUUAAGGACAAGAACAUUUCAGACUGGUCAAAAAGGUCCAAAAAGCAUAUAUAGAAAUAGCGGGCUUAAGAGGAAUAAACUAAAAGUUGACAUUUUCUUCUUUCAAAUAUUUCACAUAUAGGUGUAGUCUGCUGGAUCUGUGGAGAAUCCAGUGCCACCAAAGAGAGUCACCGCGAAAGGCGGUUGUUUUUAACAUUUGAACGUACAAACAGUCCCUUUGGUUGUGUUGUUAUUACAUUAUGCAAUAAACUAUAAUCAUGAUAAUACUCGUAUAAAAUUUUAAUGUUCGAUUUGUUGAUUAUAAAAUAGAAAUGUACAAUGUGUAAAAAUACAGAACCUUGUCUUUACAACGCUAUAGCAACGAUAUCUAUACAGGUAUGAAAUUCGAUUCUCUGUUUCUUUACCAUUUUUCAAUAAAAACGAGUCUGUGAAGUUGCAAGUUCCAAGUCCGUAAUAUUGUUUAAGGAAUGUGAUGUACGAGUCAAAUAUAUGCGACUUUCUGCUGUCUGAAUAAUCAUACCAACAUACAAUAACCCCGUUGUUGAUUGUUCUCGUUUACAAAAACAAAUAAUAAGUGCAAACAGUAUCCAAGGUUUAUUCUAUCUGUGGUUCCACAUCAGGCUACCAGCCUUUUCCCACUUUCCGACUGUUACCGAAUGUGGAACGAUUGUUUUGUUGAUAUUUUUUGCAAAUUCAAAGUUGUUAAUUUGUUAGUAAACUUACUCACAAUAACUUCAUGUAUAAAUAGAGUUAACAAUAAAGGAACUGAAUCUAAAAUAUGGAAAUUGAAAAGCAUUGGCUUGUAUAAACGAUGUGAAGACAAAUUAACUUGUAUAUGUUGUGCUGUUUGUUUAAAUAUCCACUAUUUGCGAUAGUGACUAAUUUCAACAGUUUCGAUAUUUCUGUGUUAUUUUAGCA